AGCGAACGCUGGCGGCGUGCUUAACACAUGCAAGUCGAGCGAAGGUGUUUCAAGGGUAACCUUGAGAUACACUUAGCGGCGGACGGGUGAGUAAUACGUGGAUAACUUACCUCUAGGCCUGGGAUAACCCCGGGAAACUGGGGCUAAUACCUGAUAAGACCACAUUGUCUACGGACAAAGGGGUAAAAGGUGGCUGUGCAAACAGCUAUCGCCAAAAGNUAGGUUCACGUCCCAUCAGGCAGUGGUGAGGUAAUGGCUCACCAAACCAAAGACGGGUAGCCGGCCUUGGCGGGUGAACGGCCACACGGGGACUGAGACACGGCCCCCGACUCCUACGGGAGGCAGCAGUGGGGAAUAUUGGGCAAUGGGCGCAAGCCUGACCCAGCGACGUCGCG
rnacentral:rRNA from 1 species